UUUGUUUUCUCCUAAAUUUUGUUUUCACUUCCGCGCCGGCGACGAGUUGGUCCGGCGCAAUCCAAUUCCUAACCUAACAACGUUACAGUGAUGGGAACCGAGAAUUACACUUACAUGGGACAUAGUUUCAACGAAUUCACCAUCAACGACGACUUUACUUCUUCGGCUUUCAGCGAAUGUAACAGUGAUAGAUUCGGCGAAUUCGUCACCACUUCUUCACAAUCCCGACGACUCUUCAUUUCUUGUGCUUCCGAAAAUUCUGAUGAUUUCAUCCGUCAACUUGUUUCCGAUAUUCAAUAUUCUUCAAUUGAAGACCAGAAACAAGCCGCCAUAGAAAUUCGAUUACUCGCUAAAAAUAAACCAGAAAAUUGAAUCAGAAUCGCAAAAGCCGGCACAAUUAAACCAUUAAUUUCACUCGUUUCCUUGCAAGACCUUCAACUUCAAGAAUACGACAUCACCACGAUUUUGAAUCUCACUUUAUGUGACGAGAAUAAAGAUCUAAUAGCUUCUUCUGGAGCGAUUGAGCCUUUGGAAUGAUGGGCUCUGGGAAGACAACUGUGGGGAAGAUUAUAUCGCAAGUGCUUAGCUAUUCAUUUUGUGAUUGUUUGGAGUCUUGUGACCAAUAUGGCCGUAUGAACUUCUGAUUCAGGAAGCAAUGGUUGUUGGUCAAUCUUUCGCAUCCAUUAAGGGAUAUCAUCUUGAUGGGAACAUAGAAAUGUUGUGAAUAGGAAUCACGAACAUUGAUGGAUCCUUAACUUCAUGCUAUGUGACAACUGGUUCUUUUUCAAGGACAACAGUUAAUUAUAAUGCAGGAUGUCAAACAACAGUCUCAAAUAUUGUGAUGGCCAGUACUGUGAUUUUGUUCCUGCAAUUAUUUGCAAGGCUCCUAUACUAUACCCAUAUGGCUAUCCUUGCUGCUAUCAUCCUCUCUGCACUUCCUGGAUUAAUCGAUGUAAUUGAGGUUCACUGUAUCUGGAAGGUUGACAAGUUAGACUUUCUUUCCUGUGAUGGCCAAUACUGUGAUUUUGUUGCUGCAAUUAUUUGCAAGGCUCUUAUACUACACCCCUAUGGCUAUCCUUGUUGCUAUCAUCCUCUCUGCACUUCCUGGAUUAAUCGAUGUAAAUGAGGCUCACUAUAUCUGGAAGGUUGACAAAUUAGACUUUCUUUCCUAUAUUGAAGCUUUCGUUGGUGUCUUGUUUGCAUCUGUAGAGAUUGGUCUCCUUGUAGUUGAAUUCUAGGUAGAGUUCCAAGAACAGAAGCCUUCUGUGAUGUAACUCAAUAUCCGAUGGUUGUAAGCACGCCUGACAUCAUAGUGAUUCUCAUACGUUCUGGCUCACUCUGCUUUGGAAAUGCCAAUUUUGUCAAAUAAAGGCAAGCACUUAACAAAUGAUCUAGAAAGGGGUUUAACUCUAAUAACAACUAUGUAUGAACUUUUUUUUCACUUGUUCCAUAAUACUUUUUUUCACUUUUUAUAGCUGUAUUGCUAGAACUUCUACAUAUUUAUUUACAUCCAGAUUCUACUACCUACCCUUUAUGUGCGAAAGUGAAGGGUAAAAGAUGUGUAUAGUGUUCUCUAGUUUAUAGAGAUAUUUCUUGGAUACAAAUAUGCUACUAAUUUCAAUAGUAUCAUUUAUAAGCAUUUAUGUUGCCAAUCCUUACUAGUACAUUUUUCUUUUAUUCUUGCUCUCUAGUUCACAUAGCAGAUUAACUCACAGUUUGAUAAGUUUAGGAAUGAAUUUUUUUAUUGUUGUGAAAGUUUUUGCAAGUGGAACAAUUGCAAAAAUUAUGAGAAAUUGCUAGAAUAAUUUCCUGAUGGAGAGUAAUGUAGAACGUAAUGUGAAUGCUCUGGCAGCUGGAAGGAUUACAUGCAUUGAUCCCUUAGAACAGAUAAACUGAAGAUGCAUUCGCAUUGUCAAAAGUGUAGCAGUCGACCAUGGUAGAUGUGCCAUGUGCGGCGAACAAUGAAAUCUUUGGCUAGGGACGGUGAAUAAUAGAAGUCAUUCAAGUGAUUUGGUUGUGUUAAUUCAUAUGAAUCUUUUUGUGUUAAUCUUGGUUAUUAAUAUUAUUACUAUCUUUUAUGUAUACUCAGACUUGUGAUUUGUUUGUGUUUUCAUGUUUAGUAUAAUGUAUUGUCAACAUAGUUGAUGUCAUCAUGUGACUCUUUGGGUCGGGGCAUGUUCAUUUCGAUUAUGUCUAUAAUUAGAUUAUUGUCCUGGUUCUACUUA